GUUUACGGUCAUACCACCCUGAAUGCACCUGAUCUCAUCUGAUCUCGGAAGUUAAGCGGGGUCAGGUCUGGUUAGUAUUUGGAUGGAAGAAAUUCAAUAUUGUUGCAAGGU
ensembl:rRNA 5S_rRNA 5S ribosomal RNA